rnacentral:rRNA from 1 species
CAGCCGCCGCGGGAAUACGGAGGGUGCAAGCGUUAAUCGGAAAUACUGGGCGUAAAGCGUGCGUAGGUGGUGGUUUAAGUCCGUUGUGAAAGCCCUGGGCUCAACCUGGGAAUUGCAGUGGAUACUGGGUCACUAGAGUGUGGUAGAGGAUAGUGGAAUUUCCGGUGUAGCAGUGAAAUGCGUAGAGAUCGGGAGGAACAUCAGUGGCGAAGGCGGCCAUCUGGGACAACACUGACGCUGAGGCACGAAAGCGUGGGGAGCAAACAGGAUUAGAUACCCCCGUAGUCCCUGUCUCUUAUAA